rnacentral:misc_RNA from 1 species
UUUCCGUAGGUGAACCUGCGGAAGGAUCAUUACUGAGUGAGGGCCCCUCGGGGUCCAACCUCCCACCCGUGUUUAACGAACCUUGUUGCUUCGGCGGGCCCGCCUCACGGCCGCCGGGGGGCAUCUGCCCCCGGGCCCGCGCCCGCCGAAGCCACCUGUGAACGCUGUCCGAAGUAUGCAGUCUGAGACAAUUAUUAAAUUAAUUAAAACUUUCAACAACGGAUCUCUUGGUUCUG